rnacentral:tRNA from 1 species
GCCGGAGUGGCGGAAUCGGCAGACGCACAGGUUUCAAAAACCUGCGCCCGUAAGGGCGUGAGGGUUCAAGUCCCUCCUCCGGCACCA